UACGUAUGGGGCAAGCGUUAUCCGGAUUUACUGGGUGUAAAGGGGGCGUAGGCGGCGGGGCAAGCCUGAUGUGAAAGCCCGGGGCUCAACCCCGGGACUGCAUUGGGAACUGCCCUGCUGGAGUGCCGGAGGGGCAGGCGGAAUUCCUAGUGUAGCGGUGAAAUGCGUAGAUAUUAGGAGGAGCACCAGUGGCGAAGGCGGCCUGCUGGACGGUGACUGACGCUGAGGCUCGAAAGCGUGGGGAGCAAACAGG
rnacentral:rRNA from 1 species